CUCAAUUUCCCAUCCCAAAACCCAUUAAACCAAUUUAGGUCAGCAGCCUCGUUAGUUCUCUACACUGUGAAAUCAAAAAGAUUCGAGGGACGAUCUGUAGAUUAAGCAAACGAAGAAGAAGAUGAAGAAACUGGUGUUGUAAGGAGAAGAAGAAAAAUUUGUAAAUCUAAGUUGGUUUGGGUAUGAGCAAAUUCGGAACUGGCGUUUUCUUUACUAAGUUUCCAUCAGUAUGGUGAUCUUGCUUACAGUUUUCAGUUUUUCAUAACUGGUUUCGGUGAGUCAAUUGUUUUCAACCUUCGACCAUCAUUUUUGGGUUGAUUGUUUCUGGAUCUUGACAGUGCAGAAAAUAGAAAUUGCUGGGAAAAAUCAAAAUUAUCUCGGAAGUAUCAGAAACCGGAUGGAAAUAUUCGAAGAACUUACCCGUAUCAACGCAGAAUAACAACAUCAAUCAUCUACCUAAGCAGGCAGCUGAACCAAUUGAAGAAUUGUGAAAUGUGGAGAAGAAUCGGGGAUCUACAAGGAGGAUCUUCAAUCAUCCAAUUUCACUGUAAGGUGAUUAUUCUUUGCAGUUAUUACAUAUUAAAGAGUGAAACUCUUUUUUUUUUCUUUACUAGAAAUUGUUGGCCCUUUUCAAGUAAGGUUUUCCAAGCUGCCUACUCUAACAGUUGCUGUUGGACCAACUAUUCCGAGGGAUUUACAAAAGGUUUGCGGCUUCUGAACAGCGCAGACUUCAUUUGUAGAGGUUAGUGUUUCUGGCACAGGAGAACAUGUGCUUGUAGCUGCAGGAGAGGUUCAUCUCGAGUGAUGCAUACAGGAUUUGAGAGAGAGGUUUGCAAGGGUUAAUCUGAAUGUCUCAAAACCUGUCUCCUAUAAAGAGACCAUUGAAGGGGACGGAUCCAAUUUCCUAGAUAAUCUCAAGGUCUUGACUGGUAGCUUAGUUUGUGUUGAAAGACAACCCCUGGCAGUGGAUAUCUUGUUUGGUUGCAGGUUGUAAAGCUUCUGCCAGCACUUACAAAGUUGGUUGACGGAUCUACUUGGAGAACCUGGGGUAGAGAAACAACAAACCGUUUGCAACACUUAGAGAAUAGAAUUCAGUAUUACAUGAUAGUCUAGUCGAAGCACUUAGAGAAUGGAAGAUGGAUGUUUGUGCAGGAUCAUGCUGCGAGUUAAAAAGUCAACAAGGAUAAUUCUGACAAAAGUAGAAAUGUGUGGCUUCAGUUGCUGAGUCUCAAGAGCAGUGAUCUAUCUGGGUUUCAGCUUGCUAUUGGAGUUGGACCAUUAUGUGAUAAAUCACUACCCCAGUCGUCAAUAAUUCUGCUUGCUGGUUCAAAAACUCCAACAAACUCAUUGAUUUCAAGGGGGGGAUGCCAUGCAAGUUUUGAGUACGGGCGCUAUGGGUACCGAACUAAAGUAGUUGCAGAAAAGAAGAUAAGUGCAGUUUAGGGGGCAGAGUCAACUGUAAUAAUGCCAUCUGGCUUGUGCUGGUAAAGAAGGGUGGGCAUAUAAUAACAGCUACAGACUGCUAUAGGAAGACUGGCUCUGCAUCAUGUCUUUCCACUGGAUUAUGUUACGAUAUGUAAACUUCAAAGUAAGCCGGAAGGAGUUGCGAAUCAGGCAACUGCACAUAAACUGCUUGAUUAGAUGGCUAGUGAUGGAUAUGUGGAAGCCAAGAACAAACCAAGCCUAGGUGAAUGUGUCGUUCCAUCUGAAUUGACUGACAGGAAGUUACUUGAGGUCAAGGAUGCUUUGGGGAUACAGUUAUCGGCAAUGAGAUAAUCAACCUCAAAAAAUAUCAACCUCUGGUGGUCGCCACUCUGUUGGUUCUGAUCUUACAAGAACUCGAGAAAGAUCAGUUGACAUUCAUCAGAAUGGAUCAUCUAGAAUUCAGGAGCAACUUGGAAACAACACACCCAUCCGCAGAAAUGAGGUUUAACUCCUUCUCUGUUUGUUUGAGCCAGCAGCUUCAUGGGAGAGUGGUGUACCAGGGAAUUAUAAGCGUAAUGGUGUGGAUGGGAGAGGAUUCAUUAACUUUGGUAAGGGUGAUGACACCCUCAGGAAAUGCGCUCCAGGAAAACUAGCACGGAGAAGCUACCCCUGAGAGAGUACAUAAAGGUUAGGGGACCUCGUUGUAAAUGGGCUGGAAGGACAAGUUACCGAGGCUAAUGCACGGAAAUAAGCAAAGUUAUUAGAGGGGAGACGUGGAAGUGCUCAGCUUUAAAUAUUCAUACACACAGCAUCAGAUAUGGCGAGAGAUAAACACUGGGUUGGGUCCUAUUGUAACUUAAUCAAUUGGCAGAGGCUAGGAAUGGUAAGCAAUUUGCACCAAUUUUACAAAGAUGAAAAGGAAAAUAUUCUUCAAAAAGUAAAAUAAAGAGAAAACUACACAAAUCCUCAGUGAACAUAUGUUUUUUCCAUUACAAUAAACAAGAUAACCCAA